rnacentral:sRNA from 1 species
CCUCUUUUAGCCCCUUUCAAUGUUCUGGUGUGGACAGAUUUCUACAAUGAUUCUCCACAUGUCACUAUCUGGACUCUACUGCUUAGAUCUCUUGUAAAAC